AUUGAACGCUGGCGGCAGGCUUAACACAUGCAAGUCGAGCGAGCGGCGGACGGGUGAGUAAUGUCUGGGAAACCGCCUGAUGGAGGGGGAUAACUACUAGAAACGGUAGCUAAUACCGCAUACCAUCAGAUGUGCCCAGAUGGGAUUAGCUAGUAGGUGGGGUAAUGGCUCACCUAGGCGACGAUCCCUAGCUGGUCUGAGAGGAUGACCAUCCAAACUGGAACUGAGACACGGUCCAGACGCCUACGGGAGGAAGCAGUGGGGAAUAUUGCACAAUGGGCGCAAGCCUGAUGCAGCCAUGCCGCGUGGGUGAAGAAGGCCUUCGGGUUGUAAAGCACUUUCAGCGAGGAGGCGUUGCUCGCAGAAGAAGCACCGGCUAACUCCGUGCCAGCAGCCGCGGUAAUUG
rnacentral:rRNA from 1 species